rnacentral:lncRNA from 1 species
UCUGUCGUACCCACUCCGCGUGGACUGUACGACUAGCAUCUACUUGGAUCCAAGGCGAGCGUGCGAUGCGGUGAAUACUAUAAGCACUAAACCAUGGUGCAGGAUUUGAGCUCAAUAUAUAUCAACAUCAUCAUAACAGUAUUUAAAUAAUCACCUGAUACUCACCUGUGCGUCCACCGCACCAUUUCAUACAUAUGCAUCAUAAAUCAAUUCUUACAUGUGCGUCCACCGCACCAAUUCAUACAUAUGCAUCAUAUAUUAAUUCAUGCAUGGCAUUUCAACUCACAUUUCUAUAUACUUUUCAUAUCAAUUCUAUGCAUGGUAUUUCACUUCCCGUUUUUCCACAUAACUCAUAUGCAUUUCAUUUUAAACAUAUUUUCAUUUCAAUUCAAUUUCUGGGAAACGUCAAGUAUAUAUAUAUAUACGGAAAACAAAACUGCCCACUCACCUGGAGUUCGUCCAACAACUCCCUAGCACCACACAUCAAGGCGUCACGACGAUCGCCGCCUAGAAUAGUAAUCAAAUCCAACCUCAGAAUUCAUAUCGAUAGAAUAUUUAACUUAUAUAAAAUACGUCACUACGUAGUUCGAUCCGGAAGAUCUGCCACUCAGAUUUUAAAUCCAUAACUUCCAGAGGUCCACAAUAUACCUCUAGGACAACAUCCUAAAAUUUCAUUACCAUCCAACGGUUGGAUUUCCGUCAAUUUCCAAAACUAAGUGACGGUUAACAUUUUAUAUUAUGGACUUACAAUUCCAAUUCCGGAAGAUCCGUAACUCGGAUUCCCAAUCCGUAAGUUCCAAUAAUCCUCAAAUAUUACGUAUUAUAACGUAUCAAAGUUUGGUGAUGCUCCAACGGUCGGAUCAUCAAUUCACAUUUUCACCUAAAUGUGAAAACUAUAAAACGUUAUUUGAACACCUAACCAACAAUCUUCAAUAACUUUCUCAUACGGUGUUCAAUUUAGGUAUAUGAAUAUACCACAGUGAUCUACUCGACGUCACGGACGUCGACAUAUUUUUAAAAUAAUUUUAUUUUUAUUUUUUAUUUUUUACUGUAGCACCUUCUUCUUCCUUGGGUCGCCGGACUGGUUUUUCCGGCGGCCGUUUUCUGGGCAGUUUUUCAAAUUGCCAUAACUUUGUCAUUUCUCAACGAAAUCAAGUGAUUCAAAAACUAAAGUUGUAGCCCUUGAAGAUAAAAAGAGAAUGGUACCUUGCACAACACCUAGUUCGCCGUGGUUUGGCCGGAAACUGCCUCGAAAGCCUCGGAGGUCGCCGGAAACUGGGUAUUUUUCAAAUGAGUAUAACUUCUUCAAUACUCAACUAAAUUGAGUGAAACAAAAAGGAAAGUUGUAGUACUUGACGAGACGAAGAGAUUGAUACCUACCUCGACUCCUAACUCGCCGGGGAUUCGCCGGAAAACGCCUCGAAAGCUCCGGCCAAACUUUGAACUUGUCGAUCUCCGUGUUCUUACGUCCAAAAACUUCCAACGAAGCACUCCGAGCUUCCUUGGGACAUCCUAAAGCUCACUAUGAGCUUGGUUUGGC